GACGAACGCUGGCGGCGUGCCUAACACAUGCAAGUCGAACGGAGCACUUCGGUGCUUAGUGGCGAACGGGUGAGUAACGCGUGAGAAACCUGCCUUUCAGUGGGGGACAACAGUUGGAAACGACUGCUAAUACCGCAUAAUGUUAUUUGAGGGCAUCCUCGGAUAACCAAAGAUUUAUUGCUGAAAGAUGGUCUCGCGUCUGAUUAGCUAGUUGGUGAGGUAACGGCUCACCAAGGCGACGAUCAGUAGCCGGUCUGAGAGGAUGAACGGCCACAUUGGGACUGAGAUACGGCCCAGACUCCUACGGGAGGCAGCAGUGGGGAAUAUUGGGCAAUGGGCGAAAGCCUGACCCAGCAACGCCGCGUGAAGGAAGAAGGCCUUCGGGUUGGUAAACUUCUUUUAGUAGGGACGAAGAACGUGACGGUACCUACAGAAAAAGACAACGGCUAACUACGUG
rnacentral:rRNA from 1 species